UGGUGGAGUGAUUUGUCUGGUUAAUUCCGAUAACGAACGAGACCUUAACCUGCUAGUUAGGUGCUCGGAAUUAUAUUCCGAGUUAUCUUCUUAGAGGGACUGUUGUAUGCCUAAUCAAAGGAAGUUUGAGGCAAUAACA
rnacentral:rRNA from 1 species